ensembl:lncRNA
CUUAAGUUCUUUCUUUCUUUCUUUCCUUCUUUUCAUUUUUUCCCCCUUUUCUUAUUUACUAUUUAUCAGUUUAGGCAGAUGAGAGACUUCUAAAUUUUUCAUGCAAAUUUUCCUACGGUACUUUCCUCUGUCUAAAUUUACAUGCUAUUUGCAAUUGUAUGAAGCAUAGACCCCCAGAGUUCUGCUGUUAUAACUCUGCGCGACUAAUCAAUGGUGGAAACAAAUAGUUAAAAAGAAAAAGAGCAAUAACAACAACAAAAAGCAACUAGUGGGGACUGCAGGCUAUGAGGAAUUCCUCAUCAAUCUAGACUUGUAUGGGCUCCUUACUCAUCUGCCAUGUGAGAUCAGGAACUGGGGGCUGAGUGUGGCAGCCUUUGCAGAGUGCCUUGGCUGCCAAUGUCUUUCACAUGCUGGAAAGGAGAAGAAAGAUGUGCUGAUUUCUAACACAAGCAAGCCGAAGUCCUUCUGGCACGUACAGUUAUGGAGAGAAAUGGCAACACUCAAAUUGCCUGCUGGAAAUCUCUGUCCAUGAUUCAUAUGUUUCUUGGGAUGCUUCUGGCC